AAUGUUGGUAGUAAAUAUAAAUUAUGAAAGCAAAAAAUUAUGGCGGUAUUUUAAGCUUUUCAGAGGAAUUUGCUCUUUAAUGGAUAAACCACCUAAAUCUUACUAGAAUUUGUGAAAUCAAUUUGUACACCACUAUAAAAACAAUUAAUUCACUAUAAUUGUUUAAAUUUAUUAAAUUAAAUUAUGUUAAGUCAAGGCGCAGUAAAAAUUUAAGAAUGAAGUGAAUUACUUUUCUUUUUAGAGAAAUACUAUUAAAAAUAUAAAUAGGAUUGAAAGUAAAAUUAAAAUAGAAUGUUAAUUUAAAAAGGAC
rnacentral:rRNA from 1 species